GAGUAUAAGUUGGAACUGGGCUCUGUCUGCCCAUCACAUCAAAGGCCAACAUGAAGACAGGCACUAUUUUUGUUCUGGUGGCUUUCAUCAUGGUGGGGAUGGAGGUGGCCUGCGCUCAGAGACCUCCUCUUCGAGGACGACAGAGACCUGGAGUCUGCCCAGAAGUGCCCAAAGGGAUGGCUGGGAUUUGUGCUGAAAUGUGCUCAGGGGAUGAAUCUUGUCCCAAAGGAAUGAAAUGCUGCAGCAAUGGGUGUGGUCAUGUCUGCAAACUUCCUGUCCCCAAAAAGGGUGGCUCUGGUGACUAUGUGAAAGGUGGACCAGACGUUUACUGAGCGUGCCUGGAGACCAGCCCCAGAAGAUUUUUUGUGAGUCAGUAAAUCCGAUGCUUGGCACAACAGUCAGACUCUUCUAUAUCCAUUCCUGGCUAUUUCCUGCCCCUGAAAUUGCAGCCUUGGAAGAUGAAGCUCUAAAAUGGUGGAAUGGCUACUUUCUAAAAAGCUUGUUUCCAAAAUAAACUCUCUGUGGCAUUA